AAAGCUCACCCGACCCGAACACUGUGAGGAUUGACAGAUUAAAAGCUCUUUCUUGAUUCGGUGGCUAGUGGUGCAUGGCCGUUCUUAGUUCGUGGUAUGAGUUGUCUGGUUAAUUCCGAUAACGAACGAGACUUUAACCUGCUAAAUAGUACGCCCGCAAUAUUAUGUGGAAUCCCGCUUAGGGGCUUCGGCCUCUCUGCGGGCCCACGUAAGCAGGUGAGACUUCUUAGAGGGACUGGUGUCCUACAAGGCGCACGAGAAAGAGCAAUAACAGGUCUGUGAUGCCCUAAGAUGUUCGGGGCCGCACGCGUGCUACAAUGACGAUGCUAAUGAGUUUGAUAUUCUGGCUCGGAAGGGUCGGGCAAACUUGUUAAUCAUCGUCGUGUCUGGGAUUGGGGUUUGUAAUUAUCCCCCAUGAACCAGGAAUUCCUAGUAAGUACAAGUCAUAAGCUUGUGCUGAUUACGUCCCUGCCCUUUGUACACACCGCCCGUCGCUACUACCGAUUGAACGGUUUAGCAAGGUCAUUGGAUCGGCUCUCAUGCGGCGC
rnacentral:rRNA from 1 species